UCAUGUGUAAGAGUGAGUAUAACAACUAGAACCGAACCAGAUCUUAAAAGCCUAAGUAUUGAAUCUUUGUUAGAAGAUACAAAGACAAAGACUCAUACGGACUUCCGCUACACCAGCAAAGCUUUGAGAAGCAAGAAGAAGCUUGGUUAGUGUUUUGGAGUCGAAUAGGACUUGAUGUCAUGUGUCUGAUUCAGUAUAAUAACUUAAACCGCAACCGGAUCUUAAAACCCUAAGUUAAGUUUCCUUGUUAGAAGAUACAAAGCCAAAGCCUCAUAUGGACUUUAGCUACACCAUUAAAGCUUUGAGAAGCAAGAAGACACUUGGUUAGUGUUUUGGAGUCGAAUAUGAUUUGAUGUGAUGUGUAUGAUUGAGUAUAAGAACUUUAACCGCAACCAGAUCUUAAAAGCCUAAGUAGGU
rnacentral:sRNA from 1 species